UACGUAGGCAGCGAGCGUUGUUCGGAGUUACUGGGCGUAAAGGGUGUGUAGGCGGUCCCUUAAGUUUGGUGUGAAAUCUCCCGGCUCAACUGGGAGGGUGCGCCGGAUACUGAGGGGCUAGAGUGCGGGAAGGGAAAGUGGAAUUCCUGGUGUAGCGGUGAAAUGCGUAGAUAUCAAGUAGAACACCAGUGGCGAAGGCGAGUCCCUGGAAAACUCCUGACACUGAGGCACGAAAGCUAGGGGAGCAAACGGG
rnacentral:rRNA from 1 species